GCGCUUGAUAAGCGUGAGGUCGGAAGUUCAAGUCUUCCCAGGCCCACCACUUUCAUCGAGUGAGCAUUCGUCUUCUGGUUACGGGGCCAUAGCUCAGCUGGGAGAGCGCGUGCUUUGCAAGCAUGAGGUCGUCGGUUCGAUCCCGUCUGGCUCCACCAGAUGGUUUGAUCACCGAGAUCUUGUACCGUCGUCCGCGAAACAUCACUUCGCAUCCUGCUAGUCUGGAUAGACAGCAAGAUGCGUGUUUUCUGACAUCGUAAAGAGGAGAUCGAUCCGAGUUGGGUCGUGUAGCAGAUUGCUGCGCGGGCCCUUCAUUAUCUCCGGAUCAUUUUCGGCGCUCGACGCUGACCGCAAGGUUGGCUGUGAGUUGUAAAAUGAUCCUUUUAGCGAAGCUUGACCGCCUCGCUAUCGGAACGAUCUUACGAAGCAAGCUGGUCUUUCUAGUCAAUGUCCGGCUGUACGUAGCGUUCAUCGAGGGCGCGUGCCGCAAGGCAAUCGUACAGACAACAUUCUGCCGAGUGUGUGGACAUUGAUAAUGAGAG
rnacentral:tRNA from 1 species